UGUGUUUCUCCCAAUAUAAAAAUCCAAGUAGAGCCAUCAUCAAAACCGGGUCCGCAUAACCAGAAUUUAGGUAAUCCCCGAAAAGACCCACCGGAAUUCUCUGCCCUCCGGCCCCUGAGUUCAGCCUCGGGAACCGCAUUAUCACAUCGACUUUCAAUAACGCAGAAUAUAGUGAUCGAAAAAGCAGCAGCGCAAAAUGAAGACGACGAAAGGAGGCAAAGUCAUGAACCCUACCGACGCUUAUCGCAAGGAACAACGCAAAAGGGAAUUGAAAAGG
rnacentral:lncRNA from 1 species